AGAAGCGCGCCUUUACGAAGAGACUCAAGACUUUUAGCAAACAAAUAAAAUCCUUCUCUGAAGUUCACACAGAAUUAUAGCACAGCCAUAGUGCUCAUCUGGAAGAAUUUCUACAGAAUGAAGGAAACCGCGAGAAAAGAUUUAAAACUAAGAUAUCACUAACAGAUUAAAUAAAUACAUGAUGGAUUUCUAUCGUGCAAAUGUUUAGCGAAAUGCUCUUCUCCGGAGUUAAUCUGUCUCGCACAAGAAGAUUGAUUUACUGUGUGGACACGAAAUGACUUGCUCGAGAAUGGAAGGUUUGUCAAAGCCGAGAAAGCAGGAGCGAGGUAACUACAGCAUAACCUGGUCGGGGCAGGGUUUCCUCCGGGUUUAUUUCGGU